rnacentral:tRNA from 1 species
GGUCGUAUAGCUCAGUCGGUAGAGCACUGGUCUAAUAAGCCAGCGGUCAAGGGUUCGAGCCCCUUUAUGACCA